rnacentral:tRNA from 1 species
GAGCUAUUAGCUCAGUUGGUUAGAGCAUACCCUUGAUAAGGGUGAGGUACUAGGUUCAAAUCCUGGAUAGCUUA